rnacentral:tRNA from 1 species
AGGAGUGUAAAGUUUUGAAAAGGGAUGAAAACAGAAAAAACUUGCAUGGGGUGCAAGGAGUCGGAGGUUCAAAUCCUCUCGCCCCGACCA